GACGAACGCUGGCGGCGUGCUUAACACAUGCAAGUCGAACGGAAAGGCCCUGCUUUUGUGGGGUGCUCGAGUGGCGAACGGGUGAGUAACACGUGAGUAACCUGCCCUUGACUUUGGGAUAACUUCAGGAAACUGGGGCUAAUACCGGAUAGGAGCUCCUGCUGCAUGGUGGGGGUUGGAAAGUUUCGGCGGUUGGGGAUGGACUCGCGGCUUAUCAGCUUGUUGGUGGGGUAGUGGCUUACCAAGGGUUUGACGGGUAGCCGGCCUGAGAGGGUGACCGGCCACAUUGGGACUGAGAUACGGCACAGACUCAUACGGGAGGCAGCAGUGGGGAAUAUUGCACAAUGGGCGGAAGCAUGAUGCAGCAACGCCGCGUGCGGGAUGACGGCCUUCGGGUUGUAAACCGCUUUCGCCUGUGACGAAGCGUGAGUGACGGUAAUGGGUAAAGAAGCACCGGCUAACUACGUG
rnacentral:rRNA from 1 species